CGAAUUUCUCAAAUCUAGUCAUAAACAAUUCAAAAUACUCAACACGAAUCGUAGGAACUAAUUCCAUAUGAAUUUACACAUUUUCCAAACUAAAAUCCGAAAUUUAGCUCAAAAUUGCCCGUGGGGCCCAUGUAUCGAAAUCCGAGAAACUCAUAAAAUCUGACAACCCAUUCCGAUACGAGUUCAACUAUACAAAAAUUAUCGAAUUCCGAUGUCAAAUGGACCUUCAAAUCCUAAAUUUUCAAUUUUGGAAAGUUUUACAAAAACUACAAUUUCUUUCAUCCAAAUCCAAAAUAAACGAUGAAUAUUGAUAUAGAUUUAUGAAAUGUACCCACUUCUGAAUAUAGAACACUUACCCAAGUCGAAAUCGUGAAAAACCUCUUUGAAAUCGCCCAAAUCCGAGCUUGAAUAACCAAAAAUGGAAGAAAUUUCGGACCCCUUCGGUUUUUACACUGCCCAAGGGUAUUAUAGGGAUUUUACAUACCUUGCCGCGCUCCCGCCGUGCUCACAGGAAGAAAACUUUCGAAUCGGCACGGUCGUGGCGUGGCCGCGCACCUGGGCGGUAAAAUGGUCAUAACUUUUUGUAUACACCUCCAAAUGACGAACGGUUUGAUGCAUUGGAACUAGACUCAAAGAGAUUUAAUUUGAUAGGUUGUUCAUUACACAACUUCUUAUAUACAUGUAGAUAUUCUCAUACAAAGUGAGGUCUUGUGCGUACUCAUUUGCAACUUUAGUAUAUUACGAAAUUUUCCAACUUGGCUUAGACUUAGGACUUUCCUUAGACCCCAUAUAUCUUAUAGUAUGCCUCGUACACUUGAUAUCAUAUCCCAUUGGUAUUCAUCAUGGUAAUAGACCUCUUACACAUAUAAAAAAAUAUAAUUAGAACACGUCAACUUUCUUAUUUCGUCAAAAUGCACUGAAUUAUCCUAUGGACUUCCAUAUCCAAAUUCUGACAUGCGUCUAAGUCCGAAAUCACCAUACGAAGCUAUUGACAUCACUAAAAUUCUAAUUUGGGGUUUUUUGCUCAAAAGUUAACUCUUCGGUCAACUCUUUCCAUUUGCUUCAAAAAUAAGAUUUUGAUUUUCUUUAAAUUUAACUCCGAAUCUUACGAAAAAUCAAACUUGACCAUACAUGCGGGUCAUAAUGCGUAUUACGAAGCUCCUCGAGGUCUUAAGCCAUUGAACGAGACGCUAAUUCUUAAAACGACAGGUCGGGUCGUUACAGAAGCCCACCAAAUAAAACUUUGCAUUGGCAUGAAUUGACAACAGUGCAUUCAUCGCUCCUAUGAGUCUUUUAGCACAUGAAAGACAAAAAAGGUAAAAUUUUCAAUUUCCAACUUGCAAAAUAUCUAAACAAAAUAUCUCAUCCUUCCAAACCACAAACCAUCAUUUAAAGACAGAAUUCUUAAAAUGGGUAGGAUCAAAUCAGCCCUAAAAUCAAAUGGUUUAUAAGAGUAAUCCAAAUUCACAAUUAUUCACAUGGGAUUUCAACAUUUAAGGCAAAGUCCCUAAUUGAAUGCUUGAAACUAAUCAAGGAUAUAGAGAACCAAAUACGCAAGGACAUGAAUAGGAUCAUCUUGUUCAUAAAUGCAACACUGUCUUAUUAUAUGUGAAAGUCAUCCUAGAAGUUAACCUACUAUUCUCAUAAGCCAUUACUAAGGUAUCAAUUAUAUGUCUACUCUAUGAUUUUGUCACACGUUUAGCAAAAAAACAGAAUCUUAUCUCGCCAUCUCUUAACUUUUACAUGGUAUCCAUUUCAUCACUUGCAGGAGUCUUACACCACUGGAGACUAUAUUAAUGCUAUUGUUAACAGACAGAAAGCUAAAACUAUAAGUAUUGUGUUGUACCAUUUAUUUUGUAAAUCUACCAUUAUACUAAAAGGAGAAUAUACGAAAAUCAGACAAAAUCUCCCUUUUCAAACACACAGCACAAUAUCCAAUCUUGAACUAAUAAUAUAUUAAUACUACCAAAAAUUCUUCCUGGCAAACUACCAGAUUCAAACUGGCACAAUUAGGAAAAGUGAAGACAUCAAAAUUGGUCGAAUUCUCAGAGGAAAACAAAAGGAAUUCAUAUUAACUUAAGUUUUUUGUUCAUACGAGCAGAAGUACAAAAAAUGAGGAAGGCAUGUGUACCUAAUGUUCGCAAAUGGAAUCCAAAUGACCAACUAAAGGCAAAUCCGUGAAAGAUGGAGCUAAGCUGAAGCAAAUAGCCUACGGACUCAGCAAAACAUCAGCGACAGAUCCAGUGACCAAACAAAGCUUCUUCAAACCAAAUGGCACUCGAAAUUCCAGAAAAAUUGAAGCAAAAGAGAAGAAAUUCGAACAGUGUUCAAACCCUUUAUUUUUCUAUUUUUUCGUUCAUUUUUCUUUUGAAUUUGACCAUUUAUCUUGUGUGUGUUUCUUUUUAAUUUGAUGGAAAGAGGAUGAUAAAGAUGGGGAGGGGAAGGCGUUGGCUUUUUCUUGCUAAAGAGGGAGGGUCUGUUUCUGGCUCUUUGUUGAAGAUGAGGAAAUGAAGAAUAAGAAAAGAAAAGGGAGUUGGGUUGCGCCGUUGGUCUGUUUUUUUAGAGAAGGGAGCUUCUGAUUGUUUUCGGUUUUUCUCUGAUUUUCGUUAGGUCUAGAACAUGGGGAGGGU
rnacentral:lncRNA from 1 species